rnacentral:rRNA from 1 species
UACGGGGGGGGCAAGCGUUGUUCGGAAUUACUGGGCGUAAAGGGUUUGUAGGUGGCUUGCUAAGUCAGACGUGAAAUCCCUCAGCUUAACUGGGGAACUGCGUCUGAGACUGGUGAGCUUGAGUGCAGGAGGGGAACGCGGAAUUCCAGGUGUAGCGGUGAAAUGCGUAGAUAUCUGGAGGAACACCGGUGGCGAAGGCGGCGUUCUGGACUGCAACUGACACUGAGGAACGAAAGCCAGGGGAGCAAACGGG